UCCCCGUUUCACGGGGCAGUCUACGCAGAGAGCAAUGCGUAAGCAUUGCAACAGCAUACAAGGGUUGCGCUCGUUGCGGGACUUAACCCAACAUCUCACGACACGAGCUGACGACAGCCAUGCAGCACCUGUGCAAAUUGGGUAUUGCUACCCUCGCCGGCUUUCACCGACUUAGAGAUGCAUGUCAAACCCAGGUAAGGUUCUUCGCGUUGCAUCGAAUUAAGCCACAUACUCCACCGCUUGUGCGGGCCCCCGUCAAUUUCUUUGAGUUUUAAUCUUGCGAUCGUACUUCCCAGGCGGCGCGUUUAACGCGUUAGCUCCGGCGCGAACAGGGUCGAACCUGCUCACACCAAACGCGCACCGUUUACUGCUGGGACUAC
rnacentral:misc_RNA from 1 species